AUGGCAGCCUGCCAGAACCAGUCUCCCAGCCCGGGGUCCUGCGUGGCUCUGGGACGCAGGGUACCAUCCCAGCCCACCUUGGAGGUGCUUCCUGAGACAGAAGUUAACAUUUGUGCUACUGAAGGUGUCAUGAGGACAGGUUUGUGGGCUCCAAGUGUGUCCUUCUGUGAAAGCCUGGGAGGGAUUUCUACCUUUCCUUUGCGCUCUGGAAGUUUGUGCCUGCCCAGUGACCUUGAGCGUGAGGCCUGUGACUUCCCAUUGUCCAGGCUGAAGAAACAAACAAAAGAUUGCCUCUAUGGGAUUGUGGAAUGUUUAUUAUUCUAA
rnacentral:lncRNA from 1 species